GCGGGUGUGGCGGAAUUGGCAGACGCGCUAGACUUAGGAUCUAGUGCCUCCGGGCGUGGGGGUUCAAGUCCCUCCACCCGCACCA
rnacentral:tRNA from 1 species